CCGGGAAAGAUAAGUUAGUUCCUCAUGCUCUCAAGUGUGUCUUCCUUGGCUAUUCUCGUGUUCAGAAAGGAUAUCAUUGUUAUUCACCUGAUCUUCAUAGGUACCUUAUGUCAGCUGACGUCACAUUUUUUGAGUCUAAACCUUUCUUUGCUUCUGCUGACCACCAUGAUAUAUCUCAGGUCUUACCUAUACCGACCUUUGAGGAAUUUAGCUCCUCUCCACCACUUUCGAACAUAAAGGUUUCACCCAUACUAACCAUUGAGGAGUCUAGUGUUGUAACCACCAUAAUAUAUCUGAGGUCUUACCUAUACCGACCUUUGAGGAGUUUCCUAUAGCUCCUCCUCCACCACCUUCGAACACAGAUGUUCCACCCAUACUAACCAUUGAGGAGUCUAGUGUUGUUCCUCCUAGUUCCCCGGUCACAGGAACACCACUCUUGACUUAUCAUCGUCGUCUGCGCCCUACAUCAGGCCCAACUGGUUCUCAUCUUGCACCUGACCCUGUUCCUAUUGCGGACCCUGCCCCUAGUACACUGAUUGCACUUCGAAAAGGU
rnacentral:lncRNA from 1 species